ensembl:lincRNA
CCCCGGCGCCCGUCUCCGCGGCGCCCGUCUCCGCGGCGCCCGUCUCCGCGGCGCCCGUCUCCGCAGCGACCGUCUCCGCAGCGACCGUCUCCGCAGCGACCGUCUCCGCGCCGACUUUUCCACGGCGACCGUCUCCGUGGUUACUGUCUCUGGGGCGUCCGACUCCGCAGUGCCCGACUCCACGGCGCCUGUCUCCACAGUGCCCGUCUCCGCGGUGACUGUCUCUGCAACGACCAUCUCCGUGGCGACCAUCUCCACGGUGACCGUCUCUGUGCCGACUUUCUCUACGGCGACCAUCUCCAUGGUUAGUCUGGGGCGUCCGUCUCCACGGCGCCCGUCUCCACGGCGCCCGUCUCCACGGCGCCUGUCUCUGCAGCGACUCUAUGCAGCGACCAUCUCCGCAGCGACAGUCUCCGUGGCAACCUUUGCAGAUGGAAACCAUCCGAUGACUCUUCGGAUCUCCAAAGAUGAUGAACAAUGAGCAUGUGUGGAAGAAAUUAAGUUCUUCUCUGUCAGAGUUUGAGACCAUUUAUUGACAACAAACAUGCACAUGGGAAAGAAGGAAACGUAAGACAGAGUAAAAAGUUGUAGUAUUGGCCGCCGGAGAGGAAGAUGCGAUGUUCGGCAGUGGAUCAAUCAUCACUCAACGUAUAAGCUCUCCAAGAAUUUAAAACGAAACAUCAGGCUGUUACAGAUGGCCGGCCAAGAUUGUUCAAAUAAACACGUCUCCAGGACUACAGGUGCUUCAACCUUCCGUAGACCUUAUUUAAUCACUUGCACCCUUUUUAUGUCUAUUUGUGAAUUUGUCGCUUCCUUGUUCAAAAUAGCAUGACGAGAACUUAAUAAUUCGGAUUGAAUAGAAUUUAAUAAUUUGAAUGAAUACAUCAAGCAGGUGAGCUCUUUCUGCUACCUGUGCAGAUUUACACCUCCAAAUUGAUAUGUUGGACUCUAACCUCGACGAUUAUGAGAAAGUUGUUUAGAGACCUUUUAAACAACCAAGACCCAGCAUACGAGUUCUAUGUUGAUGACCCACAGAACGAGAACUACCGUGAUGAACCAACGUACCAGUUCUACCUUAGAGACUCACAAAAUUCGGGAAAAUCAGGAAAAGAGUUCUGCCUCGAUGGCUCACAAUGUGAGACGUACCUUGGAGACUCGGGAAUUCAGGAUAAGAGUUCUCCCUUGGAGACUUGGAAGGUAUUGUACGCUAUGAACCGAGAUUUGUCCCUUGAGGAGCACAGAACGAACUCCUCAGUACCCCCGGGAUCGAGGAGCGGCUCUGAUGGAGGAAACGCGGUCAGUCCAGGAGGUUCUCCUGGGAAUGAGGAGUUCGGACCCGAUCUUAUUGUGAAGGUGAAGGUGGAGUCUGAGUUCGUUGAUGAUUACUCCUCGCUUAUCAAAGGACCAUCCAUCUCCAGUGUGUUUUGCAAGGACUGCCCUGCAGGCAGCCACACAAUAGGGACUGCAUUUGAGCAGCCCGUGCGUCCAUUUUGUGUUCUGCAUCCAUCCAUUCCACUGCACCAGUGACUUUCUUCUUUCCCACAGAUCACCAGUCCUGGACCAUGGUUAGUGUAAAUAGUAGUUAAAAAUGUAACUAAGUUUCGCAACCCACGUGUGUGUUUGUCUUAGCGCCGGCAAUUUAGUUAAGUCGUCUGUGUGAGUCUGAUAGUUUUGUUACGCAGCGCACUAGGUUAUUUAUUUUUGGGACAUGUAUACAAAUGUCGCACUCAAGGAUCCGUAGAUAAAAUGUACUCGGGGAACCUACACCUGCAUGCCACACGAACGUUAAGGACUCUGGUCGUCUUGCAAAAGGGAGGGGGGUAGUGUUGCGGUUCUCAGAACUGCAUGCAUAUAACAGAUAGGUGCCCCAAGACAGUUAUUCCAUUAUUAUACAUGUAGAUAGUCCCCUAAGAUAGAAAACUUACACAUGCUGGUCACACGCAAAUUUGACGACUCGGGCCAAGUCUGUAAAAAGGGGAGGGGUAGUGUUGCGGAUUUGGAAACCUUACUGCACACAACAGACAGGUCCUAUAGAUCAGCUAUGUCGGUAAGUAUGUGUUUCUAGUUCGGGUCCCGUCCUAUGUUUAAUGGGUGAUUAAUUGUACGUGCACUGUGAAUUAUUUUAUAGUUUGGAUUUUUACAUUUUAAACAACAACGCCCAUCUUCCCUUCUUCACCAUCGGCCUUUCCCACGCACAUGCGUGUCAAGCGGCAUCGUGUUGCGCCACCAAGAUCAUCGAGAACCGCACGAAGCGGAGAGGUCCAAGCUAGAUCCUUACCUCCAGCUCACCUUCCCUCCAAGCUGGAGGUAUCAAUAAAGGCCGCGGCCAUCAUUUCUUUUGGGGGGUGUGUGUCUGCGUGUGGGCCCGUCUUUUAAGUAGAACCGUUAAGUGCCUUAUUCCUUGUAAAUUACAUUCCUUUUAUUCGGUUAACUCUGCGUUCUUGCGUGCUCCCCUCCCGCCAUUGUAAAUAAAUAUCCCUUUUGUUUAAUGUUCCAGCUUGUUUCUGUGUUUCUUUCAUUAGCUUGGGACGGUGUGUAUUGAGAAAUAGCGAGGUUGUAAAUUGUUCAUUUGGACCGACGGGCCUUGGUAACCUCCGCACGGGUUACACACGGUUUGGGCACGGUAACGGCUCGUUCCGAUCGAGAUCCGUCGAGGGUGUGAAUUCCCCGGUAGCUUGUCCGUGUAAGUUAUUAGGUAUAUUGAAGUUUGGCAAUUGACCCUAGCCCACGCGGUCGAAUUAUUGACGAUUCAUGGUCCAGUAAGAGGCCUGUGACCUUUCGGAGUUAUCCGGGAGUCGCGACCUCAGUUCUGGUGUGUUCGGUGGAGCCGACUCUACUGCUCCCUCAAGCGGUCGUGCUCGCCGCCGAUACCCGGCACCGCAACAGUAUUUGCUUUCUUCUCAGAAACUAUACACACAAUUCCGAUGCAACUUCACCACCCGUGAUGUACUAAAGUUUGUUCAUGAUAUUAAAAAAAUAUUGGGAUCGAGGAGGGUCGAUGGGGGUUGGGGGGUUGGCCCGCAAAAUAUGCAUUUGCGUUCUUCUCAGAAACUAGAUGCAAUUCCAAUGAAACUUGAUCACCAUAUUCACCACCCGUGAUGUACUAAAGUUUGUUCAUGCCAAAAAAGAAAUUGGGGUCGAAGGGGUUUUAUGGGGGGAGGGGGGAUUGCCCCCCACAAUAUGUAUUUGCUUUCUUUUCUGAAACCACACACACUAUUUUGAUGAAACUUGACCACAACCUUUAUCACCUGUGAUGUACCAAGGUUUGUUCACAGCAUUAAAAAAAAAUCCAUAGGUAUUUACUUUCUUCUCCAUUAUAUCGUUCCGGUGAUGGGUACCGAGACACCAGCUUGUCACUCAGGGGGAUGAAUCCCCGGUUGUCCUCGGUAGAGCCGGACCUGGGGCCACCGCUCACAAUUAACGUCAUGGUACGGUGGGUUGUUUCAAAACCACUAACGCCACCCAGUCAACCACGAGUUUCAGUGUCCGCCGUCUAAUUAUUCCGUUUAACUAGAGGUCACGUGAUUACCUGAGCGGGGAGCACUCCCUCGGCAAAGCACCAAUAUUAUCUGAUUAAAUUUUAAUUAGGGCAGUAGUAGAGGAUAAAUGGGGUUUCUAAGGCAGUCAUUCAAAUGAAUGGGAGAAAAGGGAAAAACUCUGAAUCAAGGCCCAAAAGCCCAAAAUAGGAGACCGAUUUCCUCCCUCUCCCAUACAAAUGAAUGGGGAAACCUUUCUAACUCAAGCCCCAAAAGCUCAAAAUAGGAGACUGAUCUCUGCCCCAUUGAGCAAAUGUAAAAUUGAGACACUGAUUAAAGCACUUUUUUCCUUUUAUAUUUUCAUUCCAUUCAAAAAGUGAGCCUUACCGGCUCUAUGGACCACACUGAAAUCGUACUGCUGCAACUUUUCCAACCACCUUGCAAUCUGGCCUUCCGGUUCCUUGAACCGUAAGAGCCAUUGCAAGGAGGAAUGGUCAGUUCGAACCAAAAAUUUCCUCCCGUACAAGUACGGGUGGAAAUGGCUCACGGCAGACAGCAUAGCCAAUAGCUCCUUGCGAGUAAGCAAUAAUUUCGUUCGGGCCUACUAAUGGCCCGACUGUAAUACGCGAUCACUCUUUCCACGCCCCCCUGUGUCUGAGACAAGACUGCUCCCAAUCCUUCCUGGCUUGCAUUCAUGUCCAGGGUAUACAUCCCGUCAUCGGUGGGGUACGCUAAAACGGGUGUGGAUGUCAAACACCCCUUUAAUUUGAGGAAGGCCUCCUGGCACUCCCCUGUCCAAUUAAAUCUCAACCCCUUCUCCGUCAAUCGGUGAAGGGGCCUGGCUAUCUCUGCAAAGUUUGCCACGAAGCGCCGG